GACGAACGCUGGCGGCGUGCUUAACACAUGCAAGUCGAACGGAAAGGCCCCUUUGGGGGUGCUCGAGUGGCGAACGGGUGAGUAACACGUGAGUAACCUGCCCUUGACUUCGGGAUAACUUCAGGAAACUGGGGCUAAUACCGGAUAGGAAUCCUUGCUGCAUGGUGGGGGUUGGAAAGAUUCGGCGGUUUUGGAUGGACUCGCGGCUUAUCUGCUUGUUGGUGGGGUAGUGGCUUACCAAGGCUUUGACGGGUAGCCGGCCUGAGAGGGCGACCGGCCCCAUUGGGACUGGGGUACGGCCCCGACUCCUUCGGGAGGCAGCAGGUGGGAAUAUUGCACCAUGGGCGGAAGCCUGAUGCAGCAACGCCGCGGUCGGGAUGACAGCCUUCGGGUUGGAAACCGCUUUCAGCAGGUGCGAAGCUUGUGGUGACGGUACCUGCAGAAGAAGCACCGGCUAACUACGUG
rnacentral:rRNA from 1 species